AGCAAUUUUUUUCCUGAAGUGCCCCAACUUCUUCAGGGCCUGAGCCGGAAUCCUGAAGCUUGGAAAAUUCAAGGAAGAGAAAAAAAGGCCUGAGGGUGGAGUUGAGCACAAGUGAGGACUUACAAGCUUGAUCUCAUACAAGCCCCUAACAUCUCAAGGAGAUUUGAUUCUAUACCUAAAAAUGCAAAGGAAAUCAAAUAAAGCAGAA